rnacentral:rRNA from 1 species
CCCAGACUCCUACGGGAGGCAGCAGUGGGGAAUAUUGCACAAUGGGGGAAACCCUGAUGCAGCGACGCCGCGUGAGUGAAGAAGUAUUUCGGUAUGUAAAGCUCUAUCAGCAGGGAAGAAAUAGCGACCUUUGGGUCGCCAGACGGUACCUGACUAAGAAGCCCCGGCUAACUACGUGCCAGCAGCCGCGGUAAUACGUAGGGGGCAAGCGUUAUCCGGAUUUACUGGGUGUAAAGGGAGCGUAGACGGUGAUGCAAGUCAGAAGUGAAAGCCCGGGGCUCAACUCCGGGACUGCUUUGGAAACUGUGCGGCUGGAGUGCAGGAGGGGUAAGCGGAAUUCCUAGUGUAGCGGUGAAAUGCGUAGAUAUUAGGAGGAACACCGGUGGCGAAGGCGGCUUACUGGACUGUAACUGACGUUGAGGCUCGAAAGCGUGGGGAGCAAACAGGAUUAGAUACCCCUGUAGA